AGGAUGAACGCUAGCGACAGGCCUAACACAUGCAAGUCGAGGGGCAGCACAAGGAGCAAUCUGAGGUGGCGACCGGCGCACGGGUGAGUAACACGUAUGCAACCUGCCUGUAAGCGGGGAAUAACCCGUUGAAAGACGGACUAAUACCGCAUAAUACUAAAUUACUGCAUGGUAAUUUAUUUAAACAUUUAUGGCUUACAGAUGGGCAUGCGCAUGAUUAGCUAGUUGGAGAGGUAACGGCUCCCCAAGGCAACGAUCAUUAGGGGUUCUGAGAGGAAGGUCCCCCACACUGGUACUGAGACACGGACCAGACUCCUACGGGAGGCAGCAGUGAGGAAUAUUGGUCAAUGGACGAGAGUCUGAACCAGCCAAGUCGCGUGCAGGAAGAAUGUUCCCUAUGGAUUGUAAACUGCUUUUGCAGGGGAAUAAAGUGCAUCACGUGUGAUGUUUUGUAUGUACUCUGCGAAUAAGGAUCGGCUAACUCCGUGCCAGCCGCAGC
rnacentral:rRNA from 1 species